CUCUCCAUAGACACAUCGAUCAAGCUUCUAGACCAUUCAGAGCCCGAGUUGUUCCUUUCCAAAGUUGAGGAGGUGGGACUAAAGAAAACGCUGCAAACGGGCGCAGAUGAUUAUUGAUGAGUUGAUCGGAAGUUUGUUUUGUGAUUUUGGAUAGCGUUUUAGCGAAUUAUUGCGUGCUUUUAUUACUGUUAGAGUUAUAUGUCUCUGAAAAAUGACUUCAAGAAAGUUUUUUGUUGGUGUGGAGGCGGCUUUGGAGGAGUUUGAUCGGAUGUCCGACACUGAAACUUGCAGCGAUGCUAGCUAGCUUUGACUCGGUCAGAGAAGCUGCUUACAAACUGGGAGAAGACCCUGAUUUUGAUUGUAGCAUCCAGUGGUGAAGAAUGGGAGCCAGCAAGUCAGGAUACUUAUUUUGAGUGUGUGUGUGUGUGUGUGUGUAAAAUAAAAUGCAAGAACAGAA